GCCGGGCGCGAUGGCUCACGCCUGUAAUACCAGCACUUUGGGAGGCUGAGACGGGUGGAUCACUUGAGGUCAGGAGUUCGGGACCAGCCUGGCCAACAUGGUGAAACCCCGUCUCUA
rnacentral:SRP_RNA from 1 species